rnacentral:tRNA from 4 species
GCCGCCGUAGCUCAGUCUGGUAGAGCGCCGGCCUCGUAAGCCGGUGGUCCGGGGUUCAAGUCCCCGCGGCGGCU